GUAGGGAAUAUUGGGCAAUGGUCGGAAGACUGACCCAGCCAUGACGCGUGCAGGAAGACGGCCCUCUGGGUUGUAAACUGCUUUUAUCUGGGAAGAAAAAGGCCAUGCGUGGCAAAUUGCCGGUACCAGAUGAAUAAGCACCGGCUAACUCCGUGCCAGCAGCCGCGGUAAUACGGAGGGUGCGAGCGUUGUCCGGAUUUAUUGGGUUUAAAGGGUGCGUAGGCGGCUGAUUAAGUCAGCGGUGAAAGACUUCGGCUUAACCGGAGCAGUGCCGUUGAUACUGGUUGGCUUGGGUGUCGGAGGGGUACAUGGAAUUGAUGGUGUAGCGGUGAAAUGCAUAGAUACCAUCAGGAACACCGAUAGCGAAGGCAUUGUACUGGCCGACAACUGACGCUGAUGCACGAAAGUGUGGGGAUCGAACAGGAUUAGAUACCCUGGUAGUCC
rnacentral:rRNA from 1 species